GAUGAACGCUGGCGGCGUGCCUAAUACAUGCAAGUCGAGCGAACAGACGGGAGUGCUUGCACUCUCUGACGUUAGCGGCGGACGGGUGAGUAACACGUGGGUAACCUACCUAUAAGACUGGGAUAACUUCGGGAAACCGGAGCUAAUACCGGAUAAUAUUUAGCUUCGCAUGAAGCAAUAGUGAAAGACGGUUCUGCUGUCACUUAUAGAUGGACCCGCGGUGUAUUAGCUAGUUGGUGAGGUAACGGCUCACCAAGGCAACGAUACAUAGCCGACCUGAGAGGGUGAUCGGCCACACUGGGACUGAGACACGGCCCAGACUCCUACGGGAGGCAGCAGUAGGGAAUCUUCCGCAAUGGACGAAAGUCUGACGGAGCAAUGCCGCGUGAGUGAAGAAGGUUUUCGGAUCGUAAAACUCUGUUGUAAGGGAAGAACAAGUACGUUAGUAACUGAACGUACCUUGACGGUACCUUACCAGAAAGCCACGGCUAACUACGUG
rnacentral:rRNA from 1 species